rfam:Candidatus Thiomargarita nelsonii contig_256, whole genome shotgun sequence.
UAAUGCGGCUAGGGGUGCCCAUAUGGGCUGAGAAUACACCCUUUGAACCUGAUCCGGCUGCUACCGGCGUAGGAAAGCACGUUUCUCUUGCG